rnacentral:lncRNA from 1 species
GAAGUUUCAUCUGGUACACUGUGGACUGCAUCACUAAAUAAAACUGGCUGCUGUAGCGGCAAUUAGCUAGGCCUUUGUCGGUCACUCAGUCUUAACGAAAGUUCCCUCUCAAGGUAAUUACUGGAGUCUAUAUGAAGAGCACCUGGUAACAGUUCCUAUUCAGAAAGGUUCAUGAACACCUGCUACACUUCUUGUCCGUUCAACAAGUAAAUACGUCAUUAGAUCUUGAUUCGCAUAUGCCUACUUUAUGCUGAUGAUACGUGAAAUUCUCAAUAAGAAUGCAGCAGCAACUAUGCACUUGUAUUGAAAGAGUUCAUUAAUUAGUCUCAUUAACACUUACGAAAUUGUUACGUGUAAUUCUUGUGAAACAAAGAUAUCGAUAAUCUAAUAAUUCGUGCAGAAUACUUAUCCACAUAUAUAGAUAAACCGUGCAUGAAUGGAGGGACAGCACUACUCCAGUGCGCGUGGAUUCAAAUAUCACUGAAAUUGCAACAAAAUGCCCGAACAAUCAGUAUAAUGCAUGAAGAAAAACUGAAAUGCAUCAUGAAUUGUUUGUACCUACCCGCAUAAUUCCAUUUUAUCCUAUUUCUCAUUGUUUCUUUUUCAAUUUAGACAACAGGGUGGAGGAAGAUUGUUCAAAUCCAUUCUAAGAAGUAUGAACUUAACCGUACAUCACUAAUGUACACAAUAUAACAAUUUGCUGUCUCCUAGUUAGGACUACCUCAAUAAACGUUGCUGGGGUCAAUACAGGCAGCUGAGUAUCUCCUCUCCGGGACCCAAAAGUUGGAACAGAACCAAUCUCUUGGCAUAUAGUAAUAUGUAGAUCUUUAUCAACAACAAUCCUUGCGAUUAAAACAGGCAACUGCUGGACUAGAAACAACCCCAAAAUUUGUGAUAAAAGAUUUACAAACAUGCCUAUAUGCGAAUCUCUAUCGACAACAAUCCUUGCGAUCAAAACAGGCAACUGUUGGACUACAAACAACCCCAAAAUUUGUGAUAACAGAUUUGCAAACAUGCCUAUAUGCGAAUCUCUAUCUGCUUAUUGGUUCUAGCUGAACCUCCAUGCGAUCAGAGGACCGUGAGUCUUUCUCUGCCAUUGCCUGGCUUGGACUGAGGAGGUCAAUGUCCUCCUCCUCACCACUACUCAGAACCCAAUUGCUUCUGCCGGAUAUUCUAUCCCGCCUUCUCUUCCUCUCACGAUACUCCAGGUACAUCACUGUCAAAGCACCAACAAGAAACCACAGAAUUAAAGCCCACAUGAGCCUGUGAACAUCUUCAUCAUCAUACCUCUCUCCUAAAUGCUUCAUUCCAGUUAUAAGUGCUGCAACCCUGCCAACAAUCCUCAGAGGACCGUGAGUCUUUCUCUGCCAUUGCCUGGCUUGGACUGAGGAGGUCAAUGUCCUCCUCCUCACCACUACUCAGAACCCAAUUGCUUCUGCCGGAUAUUCUAUCCCGCCUUCUCUUCCUCUCACGAUACUCCAGGUACAUCACUGUCAAAGCACCAACAAGAAACCACAGAAUUAAAGCCCACAUGAGCCUGUGAACAUCUUCAUCAUCAUACCUCUCUCCUAAAUGCUUCAUUCCCGUUAUAAGUGCUGCAACCCUGCCAACAAUGGCACCCCUGCCAACAAUGACAUGGAUGUACUCCCAAAGACGCCGUUUCGAAGAAACCUCCUCCCCUGCCGCAGGUUUCUUAGGUCGUAAGUAUGCAUUGACAGGUUGUGCAAUACAAAGAACUAUGGCCAGCAUUCCAAACUUGACGUGUAGGGAGCUAAAACUCAAACCGCGAAGUUCUGCAACAGCAAAGAGAAAGCCAAGGAAGACAAUUGCUAAUCCUGAAUACUGACAUUCCAAACUUGACAUGUAGGGAGCUAAAACUCAAACCGCGAAGUUCUGCAACAGCAAAGAGAAAGCCAAGGAAGACAAUUGCUAAUCCCGAAUACUGUAGAUAAACAUGAAUCUGAAACCAC